CCAGGCAGGUAUUAAAGAUGAGACAUUUCUCCAAAGAAAGAGGCAGCAACCCUAAUUCAGCACAAAUGAAUUUACAGCCUUGUAAAGUGAAGUACUAAAUCCCAUGAGUCUGGACUGCUGAAUGUAUCAGAUUUUGAUUUCUCCAACGUUUGAGAUCUUUUGAAUUCCAAGUUCAUUCUUUCUACAACAUGAGAAAUUUCACAGAUUUCAUAUCAAAAAGGAAACAUUUUCACCCAUUCCUCAGCCCCGCAUGUGAGCGUACAUCAGUAAAUCAGUAUAAAUCCCAUGCUAACUGCUAUCCAGCCAUCAUAACCAACAUGUGUCUGAACCGCAUCAUGGUUAACUUUCUAAAUGGUUUCUUCCAACAUAAUCUGGGACCCAUUCACAAUUACAAUGUUUUAUUACAUUUUACAUUACAUUUUAUUUACAGUGCUUUAUUAUUCAUAUUAUGGCAACUUUCUAGGGUGUUCUGGAAUUUAUAGUUUGGUGAUGCACUACAGCUCCAUGGGUGAGAAUCCUAAAUACUCAUCCCUAAACUACAGACUCCAGGAUUCCAUAGCAUGGAACCGUGGCAGUUGAAGUGGAAUCAUAGCACUAUAAAGACAUAGUGUGAUGGGCUCUUGGACCAAGAAAAAUUGUAAAAUGUAGAGCCGGAGUUAUGCGUAUAAAUUAUUUGACGGCUUAUCUUGAACUAAUGCAUUCUGAUUUCCAAUUCUUUGACAGCAAUAUGAAACUGCAGUAGAGAUAAUGACAGCAUGCAAAAGUGACCCUGUUUUGGCUGCACAGAAUUAAACAGGACAUUUCACAAUAUUUUUUUUUCUUCAUCGCCUUCUUAAAGAGACUUUCAUUAGCCUCAAAAGACAGAUUUCUGUAAGAAAACCUUACUGUUCCUGGGUUUUAUCUCCUGUUCUUUUCCGAAGCAACAAAUUUCCAUCUGCUGCAUUUAGAAAUUAAACUCUCCCCAAAAUCAAGUAAAUUAAAAGUGUGCCUUCCAGAUCUGUCAUGGUACAGAUAAAACGCUGACUUUACAUGCUUCCUAGACUUUAGCAUGCUGUUUUAUUUCAGUUCAUCGAAGCCACAAAGGCAUACUUCCUAUUUCAUCUGCCACCAACAGUAUAAACAUUAAAACAAGACAAAUGCAAGGAACUAUGUUGUGCUAUGUUAAGCUGCGCUAGUAGGACAGCAGUUUCCAAGAACCGAGACUUAAGACAUAAAUUCCUGCAUGAUUCAUCUUUCAGUUCUUGUCGGCUUGGCUCUUUUCCCCAUGUCAGGUGGAAAUAGUUAAAUGGAAGAUGAUGGUGAUGGACCUUAUCGUGUGAGGCCAGUAAAGCGGCAGGAUAACAGCACAUUCGAUUCACCGUUCCCGCAUGACGUUGGUGCUGUUCUGUCAAUAUAGCAUAAGAGACCGCUGUAAAAGCUGUUCGUAUAGAAAUACUCUGAUAAUGACCUCCUUUAACUCUUUUGUCAUGUAGGAUUUGCAGAGUGAAAGUUCAACAGUGCUUUCCUGCUGAAUUUGAUUGGUCUGUGGUCACAGUUUGGAUGAGGAAAUGCUGUUGGAGAUGCAAGAGGAAAAUGAUUUCUUUGUGUGUCCAACUGCUGAAAUGCAAUGCCCAUCCAGUCAAAUCCCUACAUGGAUGUGCAUUCAACAGCUGGCAGAAAGCUAUCAUAUUACUUUAAAUAUUUGCCGAAGAUAAGAAAAGCAGUUGCAAAAUUCUUCAUUCAUCAGAAAUUGGGGGAAGGAUCCCCACGCAGAUACCAACAUCCAUGGAUGCUCACGUCCCAUUGACCUCAAUGGUGGCACAGCCCUGUCUCAGCCUGGAGAUUUCCAUUGAUCCACUCACCACCCACACAGCCAUCUUGAUGUACACCAAAUAUUUUGGACAUACAAUAUCUACAUCUUAAGUCUCAUUGUUCCUUUUGCUUGGAUGUCCAUAGCAAAACAGAACAAAUAAACAUCCCCUGACUUACUGGAGGAUCCAUUUGUGGUCAAACAUCAGCCAACAUCACCUUGUCUGGCACAUCAAGGCUUCUUUGCCCCAAGUAUCCUAGCAUGUUUUCAUGUUCUUGGGACUUGACACAAAAAACAUCAGGGAUCACCUGGUUGUCCGAGGGAGAUGGGACUCCUGGAGCUGUCAAAGGCUUCAGGAACACAUCAAGAGAAACCAGGAGUGCUAUUCAAGCAGCUGACAGCAGACCUUCUUUCCACCAACCAUCCUUCUGACCUUUGAGUUAAGUGUUAAUAUAUGGUUAAUGGGUUUGGCAGUUGGGGACUUAUCCAGUUGGUGGGGAUAGGGAUCAAGUUUGGGGGGGGAGUCCCCUUAAGAGUCAUGCCAAGCUUAAGGGAAGCUGGGAUGGUCUUACCCACAGGUGGCAGAAGAAUCACACAAUGGUCCUGUCUGCACAGGGCAGUCUGAAAUUUCCUGGCUCCAGAGCUGCCCCAAUCCUCUCCCAUUGCAAAGACCUUCCAUUCUCAUGCGGGGUGGCUGCUCACAUAUACAUCACACUGAGUUUCCAUGCACAUCUUCUGCCACCGUGGGUCACUCAGUCACAUAGCUGGAUGCCUUGAUCUGACCUCAGGUGGUAGCAGUGAAUGCACUGUAUGGCUCAGCAAGACUCAUUUUAGACAACCACCUGGAAUCAGAACGGAAACCUCCAGAUCUUCUGAGAAGAUGCAGAGCAAUGAGAGUAGGGAUAAGAAAUGGUUUCCACUCUCCCAACAAUGGCAUAGGUAAGCCAGUGAAGACUUCCACUAGUGCAAUUAUUGGAUCUCAGCCAGCCACAGAUACAGACACAUACCCUACUUGCAAAUGAACAAAGAACAAGGACACUGCACUUACUGCAGGUGAAAGUCACAUUGGAUUUCAAUCUGCAUUUUUAAUGAGGUGAAAGCAAGGAAACCUUCUCCUUUUCACAUUGGGUGAAUCAAUGAUUCACUGCUACUCUUUUUCAUUUGUAAGUUCCAGGGCGAAGACCAGCAGCAUUUUGCUGCUGUUAGUCCAAAGAUGGCUGAGAGUGAGGCUCAAUAGCUGGAUGAUGUUUACAGAUAUGAUCAAAAUGCCAAAAAAUGGGGAGAGGGAGGAGAGUUACAUGAUUUUUUACAUGCUGACCAAGUAGGAAAGAGAGUCUUGUUGCUUGCUUCUCCCUUGAGAUGGCCUCUGUGCACCUUAUAGUUGUUAGGGGGCAUGCGCCUACUGUACCAACUAUGGAACCUUUGGAGACACUGUGCAGGAAAUGCAUUAAAUGCAUUUAAAAAAGGAAAUCAGAUUUUGGUAUGUUUGCAGUGGGAAGAAGAGAUAACAAGGGGAAGAUGCCUAGCAACGCUUUUGCAGGGAGUGUCAAUCCUCAACAGUGCAUGUACAGAGAGCCUUGUUGCAUUAAAAACAAACCUGGUAGGGAAAACGGAGAGAAGCUCAAUUGUCUUUCUGUCUCCACAUGACGUCGAAGCACUUUUGUGCUCUUCCAGUUGUAAAGAUAUGGGAAGGAAUGGUCAAAACAUCCCUUUUGCCGAUUUUUUUUUUCCCAGCUGGACAAAAGUGACACUUUUACAACACUUUUACAACUCUCUCCCACACUUCAAUGACUGGAAGAGAAUGAAAGUGCUUCAACGUCAUGCGGAGACAUAAACAUGCUUAUCUCCAGUUGCCUGCAGGGUUUGUUUUUAAUGCAAUAAGGCUCUUAGUGAAUAAUUACAUCAGUAAUCCUUACUAGCAGAGAUGGCCAAGGACCAGCGGAGCUGACAGGCUGAGCCUGUGCUGAAUCCAAACCCUUCCAAGGCUACUGUCACAGUGCAGAUUUAAUGCAGUUUGUCAUGGCUCCUAGGCUGUUGUGGCACCAGAGCUCUCUGAAAGAGAAGGCUAAACAAUUCAGAAAACUACAAACCUCAAGAUCUCAUACCAUUGAGCCAUGGCAAUUAAAGUGGUGUUGAACUGCAUUAAUUUUGCUGUGUAGAUGCAGCUCUAAAUUGGCCUG